rnacentral:rRNA from 1 species
UACAGAGGUCCCAAGCGUUGUUCGGAUUCACUGGGCGUAAAGGGUGCGUAGGCGGUUGGGUAAGUCUGACGUGAAAUCUUCAAGCUUAACUUGGAAACUGCGUCGGAUACUAUUCGGCUAGAGGAAUGGAGGGGAGACUGGAAUACUUGGUGUAGCAGUGAAAUGCGUAGAUAUCAAGUGGAACACCAGUGGCGAAGGCGAGUCUCUGGACAUUUCCUGACGCUGAGGCACGAAAGCCAGGGGAGCAAACGGG